rnacentral:rRNA from 1 species
GGGUGAGUAACACGUGAGCAAUCUGCCCCUGACUCUGGGAUAAGCGCUGGAAACGGCGUCUAAUACCGGAUACGAGCUGCGAAGGCAUCUUCAGCAGCUGGAAAGAAUUUCGGUCAGGGAUGAGCUCGCGGCCUAUCAGCUUGUUGGUGAGGUAAUGGCUCACCAAGGCGUCGACGGGUAGCCGGCCUGAGAGGGUGACCGGCCACACUGGGACUGAGACACGGCCCAGACUCCUACGGGAGGCAGCAGUGGGGAAUAUUGCACAAUGGGCGCAAGCCUGAUGCAGCAACGCCGCGUGAGGGACGACGGCCUUCGGGUUGUAAACCUCUUUUAGCAGGGAAGAAGCGAAAGUGACGGUACCUGCAGAAAAAGCACCGGCUAACUACGUGCCAGCAGCCGCGGUAAUACGUAGGGUGCAAGCGUUAUCCGGAAUUAUUGGGCGUAAAGAGCUCGUAGGCGGUUUGUCACGUCUGCUGUGAAAACGCGAGGCUCAACCUCGCGCCUGCAGUGGGUACGGGCAGACUAGAGUGCGGUAGGGGAGAUUGGAAUUCCUGGUGUAGCGGUGGAAUGCGCAGAUAUCAGGAGGAACACCGAUGGCGAAGGCAGAUCUCUGGGCCGUAACUGACGCUGAGGAGCGAAAGGGUGGGGAGCAAACAGGCUUAGAUACCCUGGUAGUCCACCCCGUAAACGUUGGGAACUAGUUGUGGGGUCCAUU